GAGCAGAAGGACGCAGACACUCGGCCCGGGAGCCCUCGGUGACGACCGAAGCCCGGCGGGCGUCCCCCAGAGCCCCGCUCCGUGACACCGCCCGCGAGCCCUCGGCGCCCCACGCACAGACCCCGCAGUUUGGGAAGAAGCGCAGCUCCCGUGUCCACCCUUGCAAGCUUUCUCUCCCCUUUGUAACAUAGCAGGAAUUAUAAUAAGGACACAGACUCAUCGACUCAUCUCCAGCUCAGACAACAAAUGACUCUCACCUACGAGGACUACAUUUGCAACUCUCUCACAUACACUGGGACUCUGAGGAUUGAGGCUUUUAUCUUGGGAACCACAAUGCAGAUCUGAACAGCACUGCCGUCUCCUGGAGGAGAUAAUGUGUCUUUGCUCAGAGAUCUAGUUCUCGGCUUGGCUUCUAUCAAGCAGCACCAUUUGGCAGGGGCUGCCUGGUUUAUGUGAUAGCAGAGACUGAAUUACUUAAGAAAAACAGAGACUUACUCUUUAUGUAAAAACAAAUGACAAAUUAAAAGUGGUUUUAAUUUU